UACGGAGGAUCCGAGCGUUAUCCGGAUUUAUUGGGUUUAAAGGGUGCGUAGGCGGGUUUUUAAGUCAGUGGUGAAAGUUUGCAGCUCAACUGUAAAAUUGCCAUUGAAACUGAAGACCUUGAGUGCAAAUGAGGUAGGCGGAAUGUGUUGUGUAGCGGUGAAAUGCUUAGAUAUAACACAGAACACCAAUUGCGAAGGCAGCUUACUAGAAUGCAACUGACGCUGAGGCACGAAAGCGUGGGGAUCAAAC
rnacentral:rRNA from 1 species